CAGCCGCGCGGUGAGCACAUAGCGAACUAUUCUUUCGCCUUUUACUAAAGAAUACCGUGUGCUCGCCGCACGUACCGGCAUACGCCAAUUUUUUAAGAGCCCUCUCUCUCUCUGGAGAGGC